GCGGAGUCAGAAGGCGCUUUCACAAACUGCUCUCAACCCGGAAAAAAUGGUUGCUGUUAAACGGAAGAACCCUUGGAGCAAAAUGGAAGAAAAUGGAAAGAGCCCCUGAGGGCAACAUGGUUGAAGUUUUGGCUGACGCACGGGUAUCAGUCCACUGAGCUAACUGGCUUUGAUCCAGUCACGCAAUGGAGCCCUGAGUGGGAGGAGAGGCUGUAAUCAAAAUGAUCCUUCAAUUAAUAAAGG